rnacentral:rRNA from 1 species
UACGUAGGGUGCGAGCGUUGUCCGGAAUUACUGGGCGUAAAGAGCUCGUAGGUGGUUUGUCGCGUUGUUCGUGAAAACUCACAGCUCAACUGUGGGCGUGCGGGCGAUACGGGCAGACUGGAGUACUGCAGGGGAGACUGGAAUUCCUGGUGUAGCGGUGGAAUGCGCAGAUAUCAGGAAGAACACCCGUGGCGAAAGCGGCUCUCUGGAACGGUACUGACGCUGAGACGCGAAAGCGUGGGGAGCGAACAGG